UCGCGGUGUGCUGCCAGUAGUCAUAUGCUUGUCUCAAAGAUUAAGCCAUGCAUGUCUAAGUACAUGCCGUACAAGGCGAAACCGCGAAUGGCUCAUUAAAUCAGUUAUGGUUCCUUGGAUCGUACCUUUCUACUUGGAUAACUGUGGUAAUUCUAGAGCUAAUACAUGCAGCAGAGCUCCGACCUUCGGGGACGAGCGCUUUUAUUAGACCAAAACCAAUCGGACCUCGCGUCCGUAUCUUGUGGUGACUCUGAAUAACUUUGGGCUGAUCGCACGGGCCCGACCCGGCGACGUAUCUUUCAAGUGUCUGCCUUAUCAACUUUCGAUGGUAGGUUACGCGCCUACCAUGGUCGUAACGGGUGACGGGGAAUCAGGGUUCGAUUCCGGAGAGGGAGCCUGAGAAACGGCUACCACAUCCAAGGAAGGCAGCAGGCGCGCAAAUUACCCACUCCCAGCACGGGGAGGUAGUGACGAAAAAUAACAAUACGGGACUCUUAUGAGACCCCGUAAUUGGAAUGAGUACACUCUAAAGCCUUUAACGAGGAUCCAUUCGAGGGCAAGUCUGGUGCCAGCCGCCGCGGUAAUCCCAGCUCGAAUAGCGUAUAUUAAAGUUGUUGCGGUUAAAAAGCUCGUAGUUGGAUCUCAGUUCCAGACGGGUGGUCCUCCUACCGGUGGUCACUGCCUGUUCUGAACAGCCAGCCGGUUUCUCUUGAUGAUCUUCACCGGUUGUCUUGGGUGACCGGCAAGUUUACUUUGAAAAAAUUAGAGUGCUCAAAGCAGGCGCGACGCCUGAAUAAUGGUGCAUGGAAUAAUGGAAUAGGACCUCGGUUCUAUUUUGUUGGUUUUCUGGACACGAGGUAAUGAUUAAGAGGGACAGACGGGGGCAUUCGUAUUGCGACGCUAGAGGUGAAAUUCUUGGACCGUCGCAAGACGAACUACUGCGAAAUCUUCUCCCCAGAGAGGA
rnacentral:rRNA from 1 species